GGCGGACGGGUGAGUAAUGCUUGGGAAUAUGCCUUAUGGUGGGGGACAACAGUUGGAAACGACUGCUAAUACCGCAUGAUGUCUACGGACCAAAGUGGGGGACCUUCGGGCCUCACGCCAUAAGAUUAGCCCAAGUGGGAUUAGCUAGUUGGUGAGGUAAUGGCUCACCAAGGCAACGAUCCCUAGCUGGUUUGAGAGGAUGAUCAGUCACACUGGGACUGAGACACGGCCCAGACUCCUACGGGAGGCAGCAGUGGGGAAUAUUGCACAAUGGGCGCAAGCCUGAUGCAGCCAUGCCGCGUGUGUGAAGAAGGCCUUCGGGUUGUAAAGCACUUUCAGUAAGGAGGAAAGGUUAAGUGUUAAUAGCGCUUAGCUGUGACGUUACUUACAGAAGAAGCACCGGCUAACUCCGUGCCAGCAGCCGCGGUAAUACGGAGGGUGCGAGCGUUAAUCGGAAUUACUGGGCGUAAAGCGUAC
rnacentral:rRNA from 1 species